UAAAUAUAAUACUCAACACAUUAAAUAUAACAAGAAUAUCAUACAAAACAUUUACAUAAAAAAUAUUCAACAAAAUCAAAGUAUAUGUGCGAAAUGACUAACUACAUAUAAUUAUAAAUAUCUAAAUAACUAAGCACUUAAUCUACAACUCGCGAUUAAUCUAGGACUGAUAAUUUUUCUUCGAGCUCUUGAUCAAAAGCAAUUCCAUUGUACAUUAGAAUAGUUGAACAUUGGUUAACCAUCAUGAUAACUUUUUCAAUUACUCCUGUCAAGAUAAGAGAAACACAAUAUUAGUCAAUAUACACAAUUUAACAUAUUGUAAAAUACAUAUAACAAAGUUAAAAUAACCUAAAAAAUAUAAUUGCUCCAAUUGUUAGUUUAAUCCAUUAAGUGAUUUCAGUUUUUAAAAGAAUCAAUUCUCAAGCUAGAAGAAGCAAGAGUGAGAGUUCGAGUGGAUAAAACAAAGUUGCUGGGCUAUAAAUUAUUUCCCUAACUAGAUUUAAAAAAAUCACUUCUUUAUGUGAGAACAACAUUUAUAUUGAGUGAAAUACAUAUACAUUAGUUUCGUGCCUUGUGAUUUUUAGACCUUAAGAAGAACAUCAGAAAGUUUGGUCCAGAAGUUAAGAUAUUAAGCUUAGUGAUUCUUACUAUUAAGCUAUCAGACAUUAAAAGAAAUCAGAGAUACAAACCUUGAUAGAUAUGACAAAGUGGCCACCAGCUUUUAGGAAAUAUGAUGCAUUUAAAGCCAAAUUUCUUUCCUAUAGGGGAUGAAUAAAUCAAAUACUUCAAAGUCGAAAAAAGACUUGAUAUCAUAUUUAUUCAAAAUCCCUCAAACCAUUUGAUGCAUCAAUUGGUAAAGUUUGCUAGCUAAACAAACAAACAAAACACCCAACAAUAGUUCGACACAAUUUACAUUUAAUGAAGCCACAUCUUAAUUUACUAAUAUUUUUACACUACAUAUUUCUACACAAUUUACAAAGUGAUAAGCUGACACUCCUACAAAGCUGAAAACAUGAGCCAUUUCCUAUAGUUGCAAGAAUAGUCAGCAACAAUCCCUCCAAUAAUAGUUCUUCACCAGUUAGUUAAACAUAUUUUUGUUUCUAUCAGCAUAUAUAAAGGAAGAUAAAGCAAGAUCUGUCAACGCCAAUUCAAUCUAAUUACAUAAAUCAAAUCUUAUUUGAGAGAUGACAUUUUACUUGAAAUUAAUGUGUGAGAAUGCAAAGAAGCAGAAGAAGUUCCAAACCAGUGCUCACCUUGUCUUCUUCCCCCAAAGAAGCCGGAAUGGAUGAAGCUCAGAGACAGUUUCCAAAUGCUGCUCCAAUUGCUAUUGCAGGCUAGUUUCACUGCAUAUAUAUAUAAUGCAAGUAUUAUAACUUGAGCUUGAAUUCUAAGUGGAGAGAGAGAGGGGAGGGGAGAAAGAGAUAACUGACUCCAUGGUGAGAAAAAGCCUCAGAAGAUCAUCCCCUUCUACGACUCAAAUCUACCACAAUCAAGAAAACAUUGAUCAAACAAUUAACAAUAAUACUACUAAAAUCAAAUUUAAAAAAAUACAAUGACCCAGAUCUAGGGUAGGAGCCUCUCCGCCGCAAUGCCGUCUCCCACCAAUGCCCCUGGAUCGCCGAAAUCCACCACCAGGUCGCCGCCCCCCUCCACUUCCUCCAACCUCAACUUCAACGGCACCUCAUCGCCUAUCCUCAUCGCGCUGUCGUCUCCCGAUAAACAACCCAUGAAAGGAAAAAUUAGAGCUUUGUUUGGAGUAUUUGGAGAGGGAUGUGGGGAUCGCUUGGAGUAACUGCCGAAUAUGUGGAGGUAGGGAUGUCAAUGCAGCCCGAAACCCGUGGGCCGACCCGAAUAACCCGACAAAAUUAGAGGGUUAGGGUUGAAAAAUCGCAACCCGAAAAAACCUCCAGCCCGAUUAGUCCGCACCCGACUAACCCGGAACCCGAUAGGGCUAGCCCGAAAACCCGAUGGGCUGACCCGGUGGGCUGACAGAAUUGUGACUGAUGCAUCCAGUUACAAUUUCUGCUAUGUUUAGAUCUAUGGUAUUUGCUUAAAUAUAUAUAUGUAGCCUCAUUAAAAAAAAGUGAAAUUAAUUAGUUAGAAUAUAU
rnacentral:lncRNA from 1 species